rnacentral:lncRNA from 1 species
GUGGUGGUUCUGCGACUCGGAAAGGAGAACGGGUGCUUGGAGGUCUUAUAGGACAAGCGACAGUGGGAAAGAAGGAGCCGCCACCAUGGCUUUGGCCACGGCGAAAGCUAAGGUUUCCAUAUGAGAUCUUCGGCGAUUCAAAUCAGUUUUCGGCAGCUAUGAUUCUCGUCUUUUAUUUUCUGUAGUUGUAACAUGCAUUCUAACAGAUGCUAUAAAAGCCGCCACUGGACGACAUUGACUGGCUAUCUCUUUUGGCAUUGCUUUUGGGUGGAACUAAUGCAUAUAAAACUUUAUAUCAUUUUCUUAAGGUAAAAAAAAAAUGAUACUUAACAACUACGAUGUACAUCUUUUAGCAGCAGCAGGCUCCCAACAUUUGUGGGUAAAAAUGUACCUUUUCAGUGGUGCAACAUUUGUA